GCAGUGACUGUACAGUGGCUAUCACUCUGCACUAUGGCUUCAGUAACCUCAGUUCAAAUCUGAGUCAUGACA